UACCAGCACCCCGAGUGGUCGGGACGAUUAUUGGGCCUAAAGCAUCCGUAGCCGGCCUUACAAGUCCUCCGUUAAAUCCAGCUGCUUAACAGAUGGGCUGCGGAGGAUACUAUAAGACUAGGAGGCAGGAGAGGCAAGCGGUACUCAGUGGGUAGGGGUAAAAUCCUCUGAUCCAUUGAAGACCACCAGUGGCGAAGGCGGCUUGCCAGAACGCGCUCGACGGUGAGGGAUGAAAGCUGGGGGAGCAAACCGG
rnacentral:rRNA from 1 species